CAUCACCGCCCCCCAUCCCCUCCCCAUCCCCUUGAGGACCCAACCCAAUGACUGACCGACCCUUCCCCUCCCCAUCCCGUUGAGGACCCAACCCAACCGUUGGCCAACCCUUCCCCACCCCAUCACCGCCCCCCAUCCCCUCCCCAUCCCCUUGAGGACCCGACCCAAUGGCUGACCGACCCUUCCCCACCCCAUCCCCUUGGGUACACCGCUGCCCCCCCCCCCUUGUCGGGGGGCUCUCGGGGAGCCCCUCAGUGCUGAGCGACCGGGCCGGGGGUGUCCUUGGGGCGAAACGACUCAGCAGACGACUGACCCGACCCCGUGGGGCUUCGGUGGUACCGCAGCUCUCCAAACCUUCAGCGCUACGGCUCAACCCCUGGCUCAACGUCACCGGGGGUGACGACCCCAUUGGAGGACCCCCCCCCCCCGGCCCCCGCUUUUGCCCGGCGCCUUUCCAACAGUUCCCUUUUCCAUGGGGGUAAUUGGGCCGCCCGGUCCCGCUGUUCCCUUUCCCGACGCCGGGCUGCUUCUUCUUCACGUCGACGGCGUUCCAAGAGUUGGAUCUUCCAACCCGGCACCGCCAUGGCCUGAGGUGGGAGGGGGACGUUGGGGAGACGUUGGGAGCGGUGGGGGACACCGAGGAUGGGGAUUUGGGGUCACCAGGGAUGGGGUCACCGAGUUUGGGGUCACCAGGGAUGGGGAUUUGGGGUCACCAGGGAUGGGGUCACCGAGUUUGGGGUCACCGGGGAUGGGGAUUUGGGGUCACCAGGGAUGGUAUGGGGUCACCAGGUAUGAUGGGGACACCGAGGAUGGGGAUUUGGGGUCAACAGGGAUGGUAUGGGGUCACCAGGUAUGAUGGGGACACCGAGGAUGGGGAUUUGGGGUCACCAGGGAUGGGGUCACCAAGUUUGGGGUCACCGGGGAUGGUAUGGGGUCACCGGGGAUGGUGGGGAGACCGGGGGUGGUGAUUUGGGGUCACUAGGGAUGGUUUGGGGUCACGAGGGAUGGUGGGGACCCCACAAAUGGGGAUUUGGGGUCACCAGGGAUGGUUUGGGGUCACCAGGGGUGGUGGGGAGAGCGAGGAUGGGGAUUUGGGGUCACCAGGGAUGGUAUGGGGUCACCAGGUAUGAUGGGGACACCGAGGAUGGGGAUUUGGGGUCACCAGGGAUGGUAUGGGGUCACCAGGUAUGAUGGGGACACCGAGGAUGCGGAUUUGGGGUCACCAGGGAUGGGGUCACCGUGUUUGGGGGCACCGGGGAUGGUGGGGAGACCGAGGAUGGGGAUUUGGGGUCACCAGAGAUGGUUUGGGGUCACCAGGGAUGGAGACAUUGGGGUCACCAGGGAUGGGGUCACCGAGUUUGGGGUCACCAGGGAUGGGGAUUUGGGGUCACCAGGGAUGGGGUCACCGAGUUUGGGGUCACCGGGGAUGGGGAUUUGGGGUCACCAGGGAUGGUAGGGAGACCGAGGAUGGAGAUAUUGGGGUCACCAGGGAUGGCGUCACCGAGUUUGGGGUCACUGGGGAUGGUAGGGAGACCGGAGGUGGGGAUUUGGGGUCACCAGGGAUGGUUUGGGGUCACCAGGAGUGGUGGGGACACCGAGGAUGGGGAUUUGGGGUCACCAGGGAUGGUAUGGGGUCACCAGGUAUGAUGGGGACACCGAGGAUGGGGAUUUGGGGUCAACAGGGAUGGUAUGGGGUCACCAGGUAUGAUGGGGACACCGAGGAUGCGGAUUUGGGGUCAACAGGGAUGGGGUCACCGUGUUUGGGGGCACCGGGGAUGGUGGGGAGAGCGAGGAUGGGGAUUUGGGGUCACCAGGGAUGGUAUGGGGUCACCAGGGAUGGUAGGGAGACCGAGGAUGAGGAUUUGGGGUCACCAGGGAUGGGGUCACCGAGUUUGGGGUCACCGGGGAUGGUAGGGAGACCGAGGAUGGGGAUUUGGGGUCACCAGGGAUGGUUUGGGGUCACCAGGGAUGGAGACAUUGGGGUCACCAGGGAUGGGGUCACCGAGUUUGGGGUCACCAGGGAUGGGGAUUUGGGGUCACCAGGGAUGGGGUCACCGAGUUUGGGGUCACCGGGGAGGGGGAUUUGGGGUCACCAGGGAUGGUAUGGGGUCACCGGGGAUGGUGGGGAGACCGGGGGUGGUGAUUUGGGGUCACCAGGGAUGGUAUGGGGUCACCAGGGAUGGUAGGGAGACCGAGGAUGAGGAUUUGGGGUCACCAGGGAUGGGGUCACCGAGUUUGGGGUCACCGGGGAUGGUAGGGAGACCGAGGAUGGGGAUUUGGGGUCACCAGGGAUGGUUUGGGGUCACCAGGGAUGGAGACAUUGGGGUCACCAGGGAUGGGGUCACCGAGUUUGGGGUCACCGGGGAUGGUGGGGAGACUGAGGAUGGGGAUUUGGGGUCACCAGAGAUGGUUUGGGGUCACCAGGGAUGGAGACAUUGGGGUCACCAGGGAUGGGGUCACCGAGUUUGGGGUCAACAGGGAUGGGGAUUUGGGGUCACCAGGGAUGGGGUCACCGAGUUUGGGGUCACCGGGGAUGGGGAUUUGGGGUCACCAGGGAUGGUAUGGGGUCACCAGGGAUGGUAGGGAGACCGAGGAUGGAGAUAUUGGGGUCACCAGGGAUGGCGUCACUGAGUUUGGGGUCACUGGGGAUGGUAGGGAGACCGGAGGUGGGGAUUUGGGGUCACCAGGGAUGGUUUGGGGUCACCAGGAGUGGUGGGGACACCGAGGAUGGGGAUUUGGGGUCACCAGGGAUGGUAUGGGGUCACCAGGUAUGAUGGGGACACCGAGGAUGGGGAUUUGGGGUCACCAGGGAUGGUAUGGGGUCACCGGGGAUGGUGGGGAGACCGGGGGUGGUGAUUUGGGGUCACUAGGGAUGGUUUGGGGUCACGAGGGAUGGUGGGGACCCCACAAAUGGGGAUUUGGGGUCACCAGGGAUGGUUUGGGGUCACCGGGGAUGGUGGGGACACCGAGGGUGGGGAUUUGGGGUCACCAGGGAUGGGGUCACCAUGUUUGGGGGUACCGAGGAUGGAGAUAUUGGGGUCACCAUGGAUGGUUUGGAGCCAACAGGGGUGAUGGGGACCCCACAGAUGGGGAUUUGGGACCACCAGGUAUGAUGGGGACACCGAGGAUGGGGAUUUGGGGUCACCAGGGAUGGGGUCACCAUGUUUGGGGGUACCGAGGACAGAGAUAUUGGGGUCACCAUGGAUGGUUUGGGGUCACCAGGUAUGAUGGGGACACCGAGGAUGGGGAUUUGGGGUCACCAGGGAUGGGGUCACCAUGUUUGGGGGUACCGAGGACAGAGAUAUUGGGGUCACCAUGGAUGGUUUGGGGUCACCAGGUAUGAUGGGGACACCGAGGAUGGGGAUUUGGGGUCACCAGGGAUGGGGUCACCAUGUUUGGGGGUACCGAGGACAGAGAUAUUGGGGUCACCAUGGAUGGUUUGGGGUCACCAGGGGUAGUGGGGACCCCACAGAUGGGGAUUUGGGGUCCCUGGGGAUGGUGGGGAGACCAAGGAUGGGGAUUUGGGGUCACCAGGGAUGGUGGGACCCCAUAGAUGGGGACAUUUGGGGUCAGCAGGAAUGGGGACAUUUGGGGACCCCAUAGAUGGGGAUUUGGGGACAGCAGGGAUGUUGGGGACAUAUGGGAUGGGGACAUUUGGGGUCACCAAGGAUGGGGUGACCCCAUAGAUGGGCAUUUGGGGUCACCGGCAUUGGGGGGGACCCCAUAGAUGGGGACAAUUGGGGUCUCCAAGAAUGGGGGGACCCCAUAGAUGGGCAUUUGGGGUCACCGUGGAUGGGGGGGGACAUAUGGGAUGCGGACAUAUGGGGACCCCAUAGAUGGGGAUUUGGGGACCCCAGGGAUAUGGGGACCCCAUAGAUGGGGACGUUUGGGGUCGGCAGGGAUGGGGGGACCCCAUAGAUGGGGAUUUGGGGUCACCGGGGAUGGGGGGAACCCCAAGGAUGGGGACCUCUGGGGUCACCAGGGAUGGAGAUAUUGGGGUCACUGGGGUUGGGGGGACCCCAUAGAUGGGGACAUUUGGGGUCAGCGGGGUUGGGGUGACCCCAUAGAUGGGCAUUUGGGGUCACCAUGGAUGGGGGGGACAUAUGGGAUGCGGACAUAUGGGAACCCCAUAGAUGGGGAUUUGGGGACCCCAGGGAUAUGGGGACCCCAUAGAUGGGGACGUUUGGGGUCGGCGGGGUUGGGGUGACCCCAUAGAUGGGGAUUUGGGGUCGGCGGGGUUGGGGGGGGACCCCACAGAUGGGGCGGGUCGGGGCCAAUAGGGGCGGCGGCGCAGCCGCUAUGGGGACACAAAGGGCCGCCGCAAUGGGGGCAGCGCGGACGGGAGGAGCGGUUUAUGGGGUCGAUGCGGG
rnacentral:lncRNA from 1 species